GAUGAGCGCUGGCGGCGUGCCUAAUACAUGCAAGUAGAACGCUGAAGGAGGAGCUUGCUCUUCUGGAUGAGUUGCGAACGGGUGAGUAACGCGUAGGUAACCUGCCUGGUAGCGGGGGAUAACUAUUGGAAACGAUAGCUAAUACCGCAUGACAACAGUUAUUGCAUGAUAACUGUUUAAAAGGGGCAACUGCUCCACUACCAGAUGGACCUGCGUUGUAUUAGCUAGUUGGUGAGGUAACGGCUCACCAAGGCGACGAUACAUAGCCGACCUGAGAGGGGGAUCGGCCACACUGGGACUGAGACACGGCCCAGACUCCUACGGGAGGCAGCAGUAGGGAAUCUUCGGCAAUGGACGGAAGUCUGACCGAGCAACGCCGCGGGAGUGAAGAAGGUUUUCGGAUCGUAAAGCUCUGUUGUAAGAGAAGAACGAGUGUGAGAGUGGAAAGUUCACACUGUGACGGUAUCUUACCAGAAAGGGACGGCUAACUACGUG
rnacentral:rRNA from 1 species